UUUGCAACACGGUACUGUUUCGGUUUUGUUCACGGUUAUUGUUUUGUAUUCAUUGAGUGUUCAGUUGAUGUUUUUAAAUAAACAACCUUACCACGCCACAUCUUGGUCCGAUCCUUGCUACUACACCCCCUCUUCAGAUGAAGAGGAGAAAAACCCUUACAGUGGGUGAAUACUAAGUCUUUCUCCAGCUGAUGCUGUCAUCAGUGUCCAUGGGCACUCCUCUCUAGAGGCCGGCAGCUCUGGUGUAGCCCCUCUUCGGCUUCCUCCUAUCCUCCCUGCGGCUCUCCCGGAACGUCCAGAACUCGCCCAUGCUGAACAGGCAGCAAUCCAAUCCCAUUUAGAUGGGGUCCAUUAGGCCUCCAUCAGCUCCACAAUGCCCCGGGGGAUGUGAAGAACAUCCAGAACUCCCUGGCAGAAGUCAGCAAUGACUGGAGGCAAAGCACCAACACCAUUGAAAACCUGAAGGACGUAAAAUAUGCCGGGUUGCAUCCUGCAACACAGUCAGAUUGCCUCAGCCGUGGAGAACCUGAAGAAUAUGUAUUUAGGUAGACUACGGUAGUGAAUGUUGCAACUGAGGAUAGACUAUUUGUAUGCGCUACUCGGUUCAGCAGUCGGCAGUGCCAUGCUCUGAGCUUGUGUGGCCUACCACUUUGCAGCUGAGCCGUUGUUGCUCUUAGACGUUUCCACUUCGCAAUAAAAUCACUUACAUUUGACCGGGGCAGCUUUAGCAGG